AUUGAACGCUGGCGGCAGGCCUAACACAUGCAAGUCGAACGAGUGGCGGACGGGUGAGUAAUGUCUGGGAAACUGCCUGCGGGAGGGGGAUAACUACUGGAAACGGUAGCUAAUACCGCAUACCAUCAGAUGUGCCCAGCUGGGAUUAGCUAGUUGGUGGGGUAACGGCUCACCAAGGCGACGAUCCCUAGCUGGUCUGAGAGGAUGACCAGCCCCACUGUAACGGAGAGCCGGUCCAGACUGCUCGUGGAGGCAGCAGUGGGGAAGAUUGCACAAGGGGCGCAAGCCUGAUGCAGCCAUGCCGAGUGUAGUAAGAAGGCCUUCGGGUUGUAGAGUACUUUCAGCGGGGAGGCGUUACCCGCAGAAGAAGCACCGGCUAACUCCGUGCCAGCCGCCGCGGUAAUAC
rnacentral:rRNA from 1 species